UGCAAGUCGAGGGGCAGCACGAUCUUCGGAUUGGUGGCGACCGGCGCACGGGUGCGUAACGCGUAUAGAACCUACCUUUUACAGAGGGAUAGCCCAGAGAAAUUUGGAUUAAUACCUCAUAGUAUUAUAGGAUUGGCAUCGUAUUUAUAGUUAAACUAUUUAGUGGGUAAGAGAUGGCUAUGCGUCCUAUUAGUUAGUUGGUAAGGUAACGGCUUACCAAGACAGCGAUAGGGUACGGGGUCCUGAGGAGGGACGACCCCCACACUGGUACUGAGACACGGACCAGACUCC
rnacentral:rRNA from 1 species